rnacentral:lncRNA from 1 species
UGGGUAUUCACCUUAUCAAGAUCUCAAAUCAAUGAUGGGUCCUUUUUGGCACCUCCUAAUGGGCGUCCAAAUUGGACUGAACUCUUUGUCAGGCUAUGGUUCCCUCAAAGAUAUGGAGUAAGACAUCGAUUUCUCAAUAAGAUCAAUUUUUCUGAUUGUAUGACGAACUCCCUUGAAAAACAUUGGUGCGCGUGUAAACGAGUUGCUCUACCAA